CCUACGGGUGGCAGCAGUGGGGAAUAUUGGGCAAUGGGCGCAAGCCUGACCCAGCAACGCCGCGUGAAGGAAGAAGGCUUUCGGGUUGUAAACUUCUUUUAAGAGGGAAGAGCAGAAGACGGUACCUCUUGAAUAAGCCACGGCUAACUACGUGCCAGCAGCCGCGGUAAUACGUAGGUGGCAAGCGUUGUCCGUAUUUACUGGGUGUAAAGGGCGUGUAGCCGGGAUGACAAGUCAGUUGUGAAAUUCCGGGGCUCAACCGCGGAAGUGCAAGUGAGACUGUUGGUCUUGAGUAUAGGAGAGGCAGGCGGAAUUCCUGGUGUAGCGGUGAAAUGCGUAGAUAUUAGGAGGAAGAACAGUGGCGAAGGCGGCCUGCUGGACGACAACUGACGGUGAGGCGCGAAAGCGUGGGGAGCAAACAGGAUGAGAUACCCGGGUAGUC
rnacentral:rRNA from 1 species